rnacentral:tRNA from 1 species
GGUAAGGUGACUGAGUAAAGUGGCGGAUUGUAAUCCCGUAAACAGAGGUUAAAUCCCUCUUCUUAUCA